AGGGCACACGGUGGAUGCCUUGGCACAGAAAGUCGAUGAAGGACGUGACAAGCUGCGAUAAGCUACGGUGAGCUGCACAUAAGCUUUGACCCGUAGAUUUCCGAAUGGGGGAACCCAACUGAGGUCAUGCUCAGUUACUCUUGCCUGAACACAUAGGGCACUGAGAGGCAACCUGGGGAACUGAAACAUCUAAGUACCCAGAGGAAAAGAAAUCAACCGAGAUUGCGCUAGUAGCGGCGAGCGAACGCGCAAGAGCCUAAACCCAUGUAUGUGUAAGCAUUAGGGCGUUGCUGCAUGAGGUGUUGUGGGGCUAUCUCUUCUCUUAACCUAAUGUAUGAGACAUAGUUACAAAGUGUUGUUAUAGCAAAAUGAUUUGGAAAAGUCAGCCAGAGCGGGUAAAAGCCCCGUAUGUUAAAUAGCAGCACCUAUGAAGAUAGUUCCCGAGUAAUGCCGAACACGUGAAAUUCGGUAUGAAUCUAGGGAGACCACUCUCUAAGGCUAAAUACUCUUCUGUGACCGAUAGCGAACCAGUACCGUGAGGGAAAGGUGAAAAGUACCCCGAGAGGGGAGUGAAAUAGUACCUGAAACCGUGUGCCUACAAGCAGUUGGAGCCUCCUUGCGAGGUGACAGCGUGCCUUUUGUAGAAUGAGCCAGCGAGUUACGGUGUGCGGCAAGGUUAAGUUUUUAAACGAGCCGUAGUGAAAGCGAGCCUUUAAGAUGGCGUGUUAGUCGUAUGCCGUAGACGCGAAGCCGGGUGAUCUAUCCAUGGGCAGGCUGAAGCAGAGGUAAGACUCUGUGGAGGGCCGAACCCACUUCGGUUGAAAACGGAGGGGAUGACCUGUGGAUAGGGGUGAAAGGCCAAUCAAACUCGGAGAUAUCUCGUUCUCCCCGAAAUAGCUUUAGGGCUAGCCUCGAAUCGUUUACUUACGGUGGUAGAGCACUGGAUUUGUGCGGGGGCUUCACCGCCUACCAACCAAAACCAAACUCCGAAUGCCGUAAGUCUAGAGAUCGGGAGUCAGAAUAUGUGGGCUAAGCCGUGUAUUCGAAAGGGAAACAGCCCAGACCGCCUGCUAAGGUCCCUAAAUCUAUGCUAAGUGGCAAAGGAUGUGCGUUUGCCUAGACAACCAGGAUGUUGGCUUAGAAGCAGCCAUGCAUUUAAAGAGUGCGUAACAGCUCACUGGUCAAGUGGACAUGCGCCGACAAUUCACGGGGCUAAGCAUAGUACCGAAGCAGCGGACUGAUUUUUCAGUGGUAGGGGAGCUUUCUGUACUGGGUUGAAGCUGUUGGGUGACCAAUGGUGGACUGUACAGAAGUGAGAAUGCUGGCAUGAGUAACGAGAGAAGUGCGAGAAACACUUCCGCCGUAAGCCUAAGGGUUCCUGGGCAAGGCUAAUCCUCCCAGGGUCAGUCGGGAGCUAAGACGAGGCAGCAAUGCGUAGUCGAUGCACAACAGGUUGAUAUUCCUGUACCACCUUUGAUUCGUUUGUACGAUGGGGUGACGGAGAAGGGUAGUCAAGCGGGGUUCUGGACGUCCCCGUGAAAGCGCGUAGGGUUGAGUGUAGGUAAAUCCGCACUCUGUAUGCCUGAGACGUUAGACGAAGCUUUUAGUGAAGUUGAUAAGCCCAUGCUUCCAAGAAAAACCUCUAAGGAGAAGAUAGGGUGCCCGUACCAAAACCGACACAGGUAGGCGGGUAGAGCAUACCAAGGCGAUCGGGAGAACUAUGGUUAAGGAACUCGGCAUAAUGACUCCGUAACUUCGGGAGAAGGAGUGCCAUCUUUUGUGAUAGGGCUUGCCCCUUUGAGCGAGAGGUGGUCGCAGUGAAACGGCCCAAGCGACUGUUUAUCAAAAACACAGGACUCUGCUAAGUCGUAAGACGAUGUAUAGGGUCUGACGCCUGCCCGGUGCUGGAAGGUUACGUGGAUGGGUUAGCGCAAGCGAAGCUUUGAAACUAAGCCCCAGUAAACGGCGGCCGUAACUAUAACGGUCCUAAGGUAGCGAAAUUCCUUGUCGGGUAAGUUCCGACCUGCACGAAUGGCGUAACGAUUUGGGCGCUGUCUCAACCAUAGACCCGGUGAAAUUGUAUUAUUCGUGAAGAUGCGAAUUACCCACGGAAGGACGGAAAGACCCCGUGAACCUUCACUACAGCUUGACAUUGAUUAUUGGUUCUGUGUGUAGAGGAUAGGUGGGAGACUUUGAAGCAGGGACGCCAGUUUCUGUGGAGUCACCCUUGGAAUACCACCCUCACAGUAUCGGUAAUCUAACGUGCGACCGUUAUCCGGCGUGCGGACCGUGUCAGGUGGGUAGUUUGACUGGGGCGGUCGCCUCCUAAAAGGUAACGGAGGCGUACGUAAGGUUUGCUCAGAUUGGUUGGCAAUCAAUCGUAGAGUACAAGAGUAUAAGCAAGCUUGACUGCGAGACCUACAAGUCGAGCAGAGACGAAAGUCGGUUCUAGUGAUCCGGCGGCUCAGAGUGGAAUGGCCGUCGCUCAACGGAUAAAAGGUACUCCGGGGAUAACAGGCUGAUCUUGCCCAAGAGUCCACAUCGACGGCAAGGUUUGGCACCUCGAUGUCGGCUCAUCGCAUCCUGGGGCUGAAGUCGGUCCCAAGGGUAUGGCUGUUCGCCAUUUAAAGAGGUACGUGAGCUGGGUUUAAAACGUCGUGAGACAGUUUGGUCCCUAUCUGCCGUGGGCGUUGGAAGAUUGACGGGGGCUGCUCCUAGUACGAGAGGACCGGAGUGGACGCACCUCUGGUGUACCGGUUGUCACGCCAGUGGCAUUGCCGGGUAGCUAAGUGCGGAAGAGAUAACCGCUGAAAGCAUCUAAGCGGGAAACUUGCCUGAAGAUGAGUCUUCCCGGAGGUUGAACCUCCCUCAAGAGUCGUCCGAGACCAGGACGUCGAUAGGUCAGGUGUGUAAGCGCUGUAAGGCGUUGAGCUAACUGAUACUAAUUGCUCGUGAGGCUUGAUC
rnacentral:rRNA from 1 species